AUGACUUGAGUUGACGACAUUAAUUGGUGCGUCUGGACAGCGUCUUCAGAUCUUCAUUUUAAUCACAACAAUGGAGAAAGCAAGUGUUACAGCGAAACAUGUCAAUUUUGUUGGCAGGCCUAUGAAAGGUAUUGGAGUAGGAGAAGUGCCGGGGAUUGGUAAUAAAUCGAAAGUCAGCUUUAGUAGAAGGGGAAUAACUGAAGCACAACAGCUCUUUGGUCAAUGUUUAAUACGUGAUAUGAACAGGGUAAGGUGUAAACAUUUUCUUGAGACAUUUGGAUUAAACCAGAAGCAACAGACUGAUGCAUUCAAUGCUUUCAAAGACUGGGUCGACCAACAUCUGUAGAAAAGAAAAGUAUACAGCUAUCACGAACUAUAUUUAAGUUUAGAUUAAUAUAUAAUCAAUUAAACAUUGAUCAAUAAAUCAACGAAUGUUAUACUGUACAUGUCCAAAUCAGGAACCAAUUCAAGGUCCUCCAUGAAAUUUGUGUUCUUAGAAAUAAAAGAU